CUACGGGAGGCAGCAGUGGGGAAUCUUAGACAAUGGGCGCAAGCCUGAUCUAGCCAUGCCGCGUGAGUGAUGAAGGCCUUAGGGUCGUAAAGCUCUUUCGCCAGGGAUGAUAAUGACAGUACCUGGUAAAGAAACCCCGGCUAACUCCGUGCCAGCAGCCGCGGUAAUACGGAGGGGGUUAGCGUUGUUCGGAAUUACUGGGCGUAAAGCGNACGUAGGCGGAUUAGUCAGUCAGAGGUGAAAUCCCAGGGCUCAACCCUGGAACUGCCUUUGAUACUGCUAGUCUUGAGUUCGAGAGAGGUGAGUGGAAUUCCGAGUGUAGAGGUGAAAUUCGUAGAUAUUCGGAGGAACACCAGUGGCGAAGGCGGCUCACUGGCUCGAUACUGACGCUGAGGUGCGAAAGUGUGGGGAGCAAACAGGAUUAGAUACCCUGGUAGUCCACACCGUAAACGAUGAAUGCCAGUCGUCGGGUAGCAUGCUGUUCGGUGACACACCUAACGGAUUAAGCAUUCCGCCUGGGGAGUACGGUCGCAAGAUUAAAACUC
rnacentral:rRNA from 1 species